CCCUUAGACGUUCUGGGCCGCACGCGCGCUACACUGACCAGUGCAACAAGCAUCCGUCCUUGGCCGACAGGCUCGGGCAAUCUUUGAACGCUGGUCGUGAUGGGGAUAGACUUUUGCAAUUUUUGGUCUUCAACGAGGAAUCCCUAGUAAGGGCGCGUCAUCAACGCGUCCUGAUUACGUCCCUGCCCUUUGUACACACCGCCCGUCGCUCCUACCGAUUGAAUGGUCCGGUGAGUUGUCAGGAUGAGACGCUUUUGGCGGGCAACUGCGAGAAGCGACUCAGAAUCUCAGCAAACCUUAUCAUUUAGAGGAAGGAGAAGUCGUAACA
rnacentral:rRNA from 1 species